UAUUGCCUUAGGCAACUCGAGGGCACACUUAAUGCCUUGGCCAUUUUUCAUGUCUGAGAGAAACCCCUGCUUUUCUUCACUUCGAGCAAAAUCUGGAGCUUUUCUUCAUCAUCUUCGCAAAACACUUAGUCAUCACAAAUCACCAUCUUUCAAAGUCUGGAUUUAGAUUCUAUUCGAUUUGGGUUCUACUCGAUUAGGGUUCGAGUUGGGUUCAAUUUGGGGGUUUUUCAUUCUGCUGAAAUGGGGGAUUUGAGUUAUGACCAAUCGAGUUGGGUUCUACUCGAUUAGGGUAUUUCUUCUGCCCCAGAGAGAAGAUAAAUCUCAUUCUUUGCAAGCUCCAGACGGGGUAUUUCUUCUCUUCUUCUCUUAUUCUCUUCUCUCCCAGAAGCCUCAACUUCUCUUCAAGGCUUCAGCAUCAUCCCUUGGCUCCGACACCUUCUUCCACCAAGUCCAAUCACAGCCACCAAACUCUAAUCAAAACCCCAUAAUCCCGUCGUCUUCUCUAGUUCUUGAAAGUCUACCCGUCUCUGGCCAAACCCCAACUCAACCCUAAAAAGAAUCUCCAUCUAAGCACCCGGUCGAAGUCUUCGCUCGAAUCUGAGACAAUCCAUGAGCCAAAGACACGCAACACCUGCGAAAUCAGUCAAGUUCAGUCAAGUUCCGAACUUGGUCUCAUAUUUUGGUUUGUUUCCUUAAGGUUUAGAUACCCUCUUCUUCUUCUUCUUCUUGCUUUGCAUUGGUUUCAAGUAAGAUAAGGUAGUCUCAGUUCUGUAGUUGAGCUAUUUGCUCAGAGAGAAGAUGGGAGUCAAGGAGAAGAAGAAGAACAAGGAGCUUGCCCAGAGAAAUUUGGAGCCUGUUGAAAAGGGUCGUCGCUUUAAUUUCUUGCACUUUGAUUCAAGUUUUGUUUUUGAUUCGUUUUGCUGUUUGAAUUGACUUGAAUGCUUCUGGGAUUAUGUAGAAUGAAGUUAGUAGAGAAAGGGUAUUGGAUUUUAGAACAAAUACCAAUACAUGAAUGUGUGUAAUUGAUGUCUAUUAUGUAGUAGACAGAAGACACUUGGAUAAUUCGGCAUGGAAAGUUGAAGUUUUGCUCUGUAGGUUUAUGAUGAGAAGAGAAUAAAGUAUAAACAAUUUGAUAUUGUGUUGAAUUGUUUCCAGAUAAAAGUUCAGGACCUUUAGAGAUGAGAAAGAGAAAAAGAGAGAAGAAAACAAUGGUGAUUCGAGAAAAGUUGUUCAGAUCUCUAUUGAAGGCUAUUAUUUUGUGCUGCAGAUAAUGGGUUAGUGAAGGUGGGGUAGUAGUAGUACUAUGAUAUGAUAAUAUUGCUAUAUACUCAAUUAGGGGAAUCCACUGAGUAUGACUUUGUGAGGUUUGGCAUUGUAUAGAUGUACUCAAAAUAAGCUCAUUCACAUAGCUCUCUAGAAUCAUGUCUGGCAGUGAUUUACUUUCUGGUCUUUAAUUUGUGGCUUCAGUUCAAGGCAGUGUGUCCGUACUCAUUAUCUUGUUGAAAUCUCGAGUAAUAAUUCUUGCGGUUUCAGUUUAUAAGUACUACCCAAAUGAGAAAUAAUUACAGGAUCAAUAAUUGCACUGGCAAUUUCUGAAGCUGUAGUUUCUUUAUAGUCUGUCAGAAACAGUUAAUCUUGAGUAUGAACAUUCCUUCUUUUAUUGUCAACAUGAAUUUUCUCUCUUAUAUAGGCAGCUAAGGUUAUUGUUAGCAGCUAAGGGUAAAGGACAUUGAUUGCACAAGACUAUAUGUACCAUCAUUGGUGUGAAGACUAGUUUCCAAGAACAGAUAUGAUCUGCUCUCUGAAAGACUAGAAGUAGCAAAUUAGCACAAGCAGGGAUAAGAAAGAGCAAAACCAAAAGAUGCAUAGAGGGACCUAUUACGUUCAAUUCAUGCAUAGAGGGACCAAUAUCAAUGGAGCUUCAAGUGUUGUGGUUAUUAUUGAGCUCUCCAUGAUGCAGUGCCAUUAAGAUGUUUAAUGCUCAAAAGGGAAGAAGGAAUCGUAAAGCAAUUCAUCGGGAAGUGGUUAAGCGAGUUCUGCACACAACUGGGGAUAUAUGGUGCAGCUGCUACAAAAUUUAAAUAUGCUUUUGAUUACAAACCAUCCGACAUCUACUGGUACCCUUCACAACUAGAGGCUUAUUAUUAAUUUGUUAAUUUGACUUUUUCAUGUUAAACUGCAUACCAGAGAUCAAUGGAAACUUUGAUUGAUUGGAUUGAUAGUGAAGUCAACAUGAGCAAUACUUAUGUACUUUUUCGAACUUAUGCUCCUGUGCAUUUCAGGAUUUUGAAUGGUGAAGAUGUAGAUAUAGAGGAAACGGUUCUUCGCACUCCAAUAUCCAAAUCCUAGAAGAACCAUUCAGAUUUGUUCUACUCAACACCACAAACAAAUAGGAACAUUCCUCCUGGUGCUGCAAUAUGUGCUAACUUGUGAAGCUUCACAACAAGCUUGGAGGUGAUGCAAAUAAGAAUAUAGUGCACAAGAUGCUUGGUAAAGUGACACAUGAAGGUUUUGUUGAAGUGAAAAGAUAUUAUAUCAGCUUUUGAUUCAUGUGUAGCUAGUUAGGAAUGCUUUUCUUCUUUUAUUGUUGGCUUGAAAUUUGGACAAUUUUGUUUGGGAACUACUGCCUUUUGCAGUUUUAUGUACAGAAUGUUGGAUUA